UACGUAGGGUGCGAGCGUUGUCCGGAAUUAUUGGGCGUAAAGAGCUCGUAGGCGGUCUGUCGCGUCGAUCGUGAAAACUUGGGGCUUAACCCUGAGCUUGCGGUCGAUACGGGCAUGACUGGAGUUCGGCAGGGGAGACUGGAAUUCCUGGUGUAGCGGUGAAAUGCGCAGAUAUCAGGAAGAACACCCGUGGCGAAGGCGGUUCUCUGGGACGGUACUGACGCUGAGACGCGAAAGCGUGGGGAGCAAACAGG
rnacentral:rRNA from 1 species